UUUUAUUGGAAUUUUUGACUAUUUAGGGACGUUUUGCUGUAAUUUUGGGCCGUUUUUUGGCUAUUUUUGGGUAAUUUCAGGUGAUUUUGGGCCAUUUUGGGGAAUUUCAGGUGAUUUUGGGCUAUUUUGGGGUGAUUUUGUGUAUUUUUGGGCUGUUUUGGGCCGUUUUUGAGUUUUUUGGGGAAUUUCAGGUGAUUUUGGGCGGUUUUUGGGGCUAUUUUUGGGCUGGUUUGGGGCAAUUUUGAGUUUUUUGGGGGUAAUUUCAGGUGAUUUUGGGUUAUUUUGGAGAUUUUCAGGUAAUUUUGGGCCAUUUUGGGCUAUUUUUGUGUGUUUUUGGGCUGGUUUGGGGCAAUUUCAGGUGGUUUUGGGCUGUUUUGGGGCAUUUUGGGGUAAUUUGGGGCUGUUUUGUGUGUUUUUGGGCUGGUUUGGGGCAAUUUCAGGUGAUUUUGGGUAAUUUCAGGUGGUUUUGGGUAAUUUCAGGUAAUUUUGGGCCAUUUUGUGGUGAUUUUUUGUGUAUUUUUGGGCGGUUUUGGGCUGGUUUUGGUCUAUUUUUGGGUUAAUUUCAGGUGGUUUUUGGGCUGUUUUGGG
rnacentral:lncRNA from 12 species